UGGGGAAUAUUGGACAAUGGGCGCAAGCCUGAUGCAGCGACGCCGCGUGAGGGAUGACGGCCUUCGGGUUGUAAACCUCUUUCAGCAGGGACGAAGCGCAAGUGACGGUACCUGCAGAAGAAGCACCGGCUAACUACGUGCCAGCAGCCGCGGUAAUACGUAGGGUGCAAGCGUUGUCCGGAAUUACUGGGCGUAAAGAGUUGUGUAGGUGGCAGUUCAAGUUAGUAGUGAAAGCGUGUGGCUCAACCACAUAUCCAUUAUUAAAACUGGGCAGCUAGAGUGCAGAAGGGGCAAUCGGAAUUCUUGGUGUAGCGGUGAAAUGCGUAGAUAUCAAGAGGAACACCUGAGGUGAAGACGGGUUGCUGGGCUGACACUGACGCUGAGGCGCGAAAGCCAGGGGAGCAAACGGGAUUAGAUACCCCCGUAGUCCCUGAGCGGGCUGGCAAGGCGCAU
rnacentral:rRNA from 1 species